rnacentral:sRNA from 1 species
GAUUCUUUUUGCAUUGCAUUCGCAUUCUUUGGAGUUUGAUGUUCAAACACGAAAAAAUGUUCAAGGUCCUCUUUAUGUUAAGUGGAUUGGUUCUUUCAUUCUUCUCGAAGCUGGGUACCUUCUUGUUCCUGUCUAUAGCGAUUCUUAUUCCUUGUCUAGUUAGUAGGAUAAUUCUUGAUUUGCAUAGUUAAAUUUUAGAUUAGUUGAUGUUUUGAAUUGCAUUCACUUUUCCUGCAAUUUCUUUUACCUUUUAGACCUUGUAUAAGUUUCAUUUCAAUUUUCGUUUAGUGUUGUAGUGAUGUCAUUUCUAGCUUAGUUUGUUAUUUUAUUCGGCUUAGUCAUAGAGGGAUAGUUAGCUUUUAAAUGCGGACAGAUUUGGCCUAUGUUGCUUGGUUAGUCUAUAACUUUCUCUAUAGUUAUCUAAUUGAGUUUAUUCUUUUUGCAUUGCAUCACUGAUUCUUUGGAGCUUGAUAUUCAAACCCCAAAAAAUGUUCCAGCUGCUCUUUAUGCCAAGUGGUUUGGUUCUUUCAUUCUUCUGGAAGCUGGUCCUUUUUUUCAUUAACAGCAAGUUAUUGUCCAAAGAGGAGCCAGGCCUUUUCUGGAAUCACUUCCAGAAAAUAUCAAAGUAGACCUUGAAUCAUGCUGUAAGUCUCUAAAGUCCCGGAGGGAAGUGUUCUUGGGUCGAAAAUGUAACUUGUUUACUUGAAUCAUUUUAAUGUUAUCAUUUGCAGAGCUUGGUAACUUGUUUACCUAAUCUCCGUAAUAAGUCCUGGCUUGCCAUGCAUAAGCUUAGGCAAGAGGUGGAGU